GACGUAGGGCGCGAGCGUUGUCCGGAUUUAUUGGGCGUAAAGAGCUCGUAGGCGGCUUGUCGCGUCGACUGUGAAAACCCAUGGCUCAACCAUGGGCUUGCAGUCGAUACGGGCGGGCUAGAGUUCGGUAGGGGAGACUGGAAUUCCUGGUGUAGCGGUGAAAUGCGCAGAUAUCAGGAGGAACACCGGUGGCGAAGGCGGGUCUCUGGGCCGAUACUGACGUGAGGAGCGAAAGCGUGGGGAGCGAACAGG
rnacentral:rRNA from 1 species